UAUGAUAGCUAUCGAUUAACACUUUCCAGCAGCAAUAAAAUUUGUCUUUUUUCAGUUAAUUAAAUUUAAAAAAUAUUUUAUCUCUUAAAAAGAUUCUGGUUAUAAAAAUUGACACAAGACAUUGUGAAAUGUAUUUUUUUUCUGUACAAAAAUAAUACUUUUUGUACGAAAACGUGUCUUAAACGCCAUAUGCCACCAGUUUAACUGAUGGAUAAUUUAAACUCCAAAUUUAUAUUCAGUUGGACACACGUUGUCAAUAAAAAAAAAUAAAAUAAAAAAUGCCACACACUGCGUGUUGUUGUGUUGCUUAUACGGAUUCCAAAUCGGCUGAAAAAAGCGUAUACUGGUGGCAGCUGUUGUUGUCGCCUGGCGCUGCAUUUCCAAACUGUCCACACAAGAAAUCGGAAAGCGAAAGCAGUCGGAAAGAGGUGUUUAGAUAGAACACUGUCGACAAAAUACAGCGAAAACUGGAUCGAUCCCAAGGCAACUUAAGCAAUUAAGAAGGCAACGCGAGCUCCUUGGCAGACGCGCGUCAGACGGGUAACAAAAAAAAAAAAAACAAAGUAUGAAGCGCGUGUGGCCAAAAAGUUAAUGAAGCGUUAAAAAAUCAACUUGUGGUCAUAAAAAAGCUGCGACCCAUUUUAAACAGUUAUAAGCUGACCUGGGCCUUAACGAAAGCGGGAGCGACACCAUGAAUGAUAUAAAUAUAUUGUUAAUCAGCGACAGUCGUCCGAUUAUUUUCUUAGAUAAAAGUCAAAAGGAAAUCGGAAUUGAAAUUAUAUAUCCAAGUCCAUCUAUUUCAUACUCCAAAUUUUAUAAAUUUCCUUCCUCCACGUUUUUCUUAACUCUAAAAUUUAAAAAGAACCAGUUAGUCGGACAUACCCAAUGAAACAUAUGUAUUUUUUUUUUUUUUUAAAUAUGCAUUAUUGGCUUCAACAUAUAUUCCAAUUGUGAUCUAUUUCCCUCAUAAAUAUGUAUUAAAUUGAGCAUUUUUCCACAGGAUUUUCUUCAGUUUGUUUCUCAUUUUUUUUGGGCUGUACCCAAAGGAAUAAUCAAUUUAAAAACGCCUUCAACUGCUCUCUGUUGCAUUUUUCAUAAGCAUGUCCUUGCGCCGAGGCUUUGUGUUUGUUUGUUCAACCCUUGAAGAGAUUGAUUAUUGUUUAUAUUUGUGCCUCCUGUGAGCAUACGAAUGCAGUGCAAACAUACGCAUCGCAUCGCAUCCGAUUGUGGCCUGACCGACGCCAACGCCAACGCCAAAGCCAAAGCCAAAGCCAACUCUUCCAUUUGAAUUGGGGCAAUUAAAGUGUGUGGUACAACUCACGGCUGAAUAACUCUAUAAACACGUGAUAGAUGAAAGGCCGGCUGAACCGAUUUUAACUGCGCUGCCCAACAACAACAACAAUAUGGACAGCAACAACAAUAGCAAUUAACAUUAACCCCUUCGACCUUCGUCGCUUGGCGGCGGGGGCGUUAAUUCAGACACGAGCUCUUGGUCAAUUUAUCAAAAAAUGCGACCAAUUCCUGGAAAACGAAAUAAAGUGAUUAUCAAGAGAAUUGAGUAUCGACCAUUAUUAUUGGCCAGCACAUUUUUCAUCCUUGCUUUUGUCCUGGCAUUGCUUUUG